GAUGAACGCUGGCGGCGUGCCUAAUACAUGCAAGUCGAGCGAACAGACGAGGAGCUUGCUCCUUUGACGUUAGCGGCGGACGGGUGAGUAACACGUAGGUAACCUACCUAUAAGACUGGGAUAACUUCGGGAAACCGGAGCUAACACCGGAUAAUAUUUCGAACCGCAUGGUUCGUUAGUGAAAGAUGGCUUUGCUAUCACUUAUUGAUGGACCUGCGCCGUAUUAGCUAGUUGGUAAGGUAACGGCUUACCAAGGCAACGAUACGUAGCCGACCUGAGAGGGUGAUCGGCCACACUGGAACUGAGACACGGUCCAGACUCCUACGGGAGGCAGCAGUAGGGAAUCUUCCGCAAUGGGCGAAAGCCUGACGGAGCAACGCCGCGUGAGUGAUGAAGGUCUUCGGAUCGUAAAACUCUGUUAUUAGGGAAGAACAAACGUGUAAGUAACUGUGCACGUCUUGACGGUACCUAAUCAGAAAGCCACGGCUAACUACGUG
rnacentral:rRNA from 1 species